rnacentral:rRNA from 1 species
GCUCGAGUGGCGAACGGGUGAGUAACACGUGAGUAACCUGCCCUUGACUUUGGGAUAACUUCAGGAAACUGGGGCUAAUACCGGAUAGGAGCUCCUGCUGCAUGGUGGGGGUUGGAAGUUUCGGCGGUUGGGGAUGGACUCGCGGCUUAUCAGCUUGUUGGUGGGGUAGUGGCUUACCAAGGCUUUGACGGGUAGCCGGCCUGAGAGGGUGACCGGCCACAUUGGGACUGAGAUACGGCCCAG